rfam:Staphylococcus sp. HGB0015 genomic scaffold aczIz-supercont1.1, whole genome shotgun sequence.
AUGUCUCCUUUAUUUUUGGUUUAGUCACUUAAAAUUAUAGAGGCAUUUGCGCUAUUUU